AGUGAACGCUGGCGGUAGGCCUAACACAUGCAAGUCGAACGGCAGCACAGUAAGAGCUUGCUCUUACGGGUGGCGAGUGGCGGACGGGUGAGGAAUACAUCGGAAUCUACUUUUUCGUGGGGGAUAACGUAGGGAAACUUACGCUAAUACCGCAUACGACCUACGGGUGAAAGCAGGGGAUCUUCGGACCUUGCGCGAGUGAAUGAGCCGAUGUCGGAUUAGCUAGUUGGCGGGGUAAAGGCCCACCAAGGCGACGAUCCGUAGCUGGUCUGAGAGGAUGAUCAGCCACACUGGAACUGAGACACGGUCCAGACUCCUACGGGAGGCAGCAGUGGGGAAUAUUGGACAAUGGGCGCAAGCCUGAUCCAGCCAUACCGCGUGGGUGAAGAAGGCCUUCGGGUUGUAAAGCCCUUUUGUUGGGAAAGAAAAGCAGCAGGUUAAUACCCCGCUGUUAUGACGGUACCCAAAGAAUAAGCACCGGCUAACUUCGUG
rnacentral:rRNA from 1 species